UACGGAGGGUGCAAGCGUUAUCCGGAUUCACUGGGUUUAAAGGGUGCGUAGGUGGGCAGGUAAGUCAGUGGUGAAAUCUCCGGGCUUAACCCGGAACUGCCGUUGAUACUAUUUGUCUUGAAUAUAGUGGAGGUGAGCGGAAUAUGUCAUGUAGCGGUGAAAUGCUUAGAUAUGACAUAGAACAUCGAUUGCGAAGGCAGCUCGCUACACUAUUAUUGACACUGAGGCACGAAAGCGUGGGGGAUCAAACAGG
rnacentral:rRNA from 1 species